AUCACUCGGCUCGUGGAUCGAUGAAGACCGCAGCUAAAUGCGCGUCAGAAUGUGAACUGCAGGACACAUGAACACCGAUAAGUUGAACGCAUAUGGCGCAUCGGACGUUUCAACCCGACCGAUGCACACAUCCUUGAGUGCCUACUAGGUACUUCGAUUUUCCUAUAAUUAGACUACAGACGGGCGCCACUAAUGGGCUGACGGGUUAUCCGUCGUCUGGCGUGCGACUGUGCAGCAUGGCGUGCUCGGGUCUCGGCGUGGACCCUUGGGCGCUGAAAGUGGAUACUCUGUUUGAGCGGCACCUUUGCGUGUGCUCUCCUAAGUGUCGACGUAUGGUGAGGGUAGUGUCAAGCCGCACGGUGCGACAACACAAGCGUACUGUCGAGUUUGGUGCAAUCGGAUGCCUACUACCAUGGGCGGUGCCGGCGUGCAUUCAACACUCGACGUGUGCGUCCUGUAUCAACCGGAUGCCAACUGCUGUCAGUUGGUGGUGUCGGCGCAGACAGGACGCGCGCGUACGCUUGAGUCGUGUAACGCGUGCGACCCAUACACGUACCUGCUUGAGCUAUGCGUUGCGAGUUGGAGAGUUGCCAGACGGAGGAAAUACCACAACUACUCCAGUAGGCCUCAAGUGAUGUGUGACUACCCC
rnacentral:rRNA from 1 species